ensembl:lncRNA
AUUACUGUGCUAAGGGCACUUUCGGGCACACUCAGUGCAAUUUGCCCAGGGAUAUGCCUAAGUUUGGUCAGUGCCUGAAGGCAACAGUGACAGGAGCAUCUGUAAGUCAGGCUGGUGAACUUUGUAUCGCACUGUAAGCAGAGAGUGGUUUGCGUCAGAAAGGACCUUUAAAGAUCAUCUAGUCCAACUAUGCCACAGGCAUCUUUUACUCCAUAAGGUUGCUCACAGCCCCAUGCAACCUGGCCUUGAACACUUCUGGAGAUGAAGCAUCCUGCAUCUCCGAAUGCUGCAAUUAAACUCUCAAUGACACGGCCUGACAGCCACAGACAACUCUCCAAAAUCCCCAACGAUGAACCGCUGGUCAUCAGCCACUCCCAUGACUGUGACUCCACAGCCAGAAACUCAGUGCUUCAUCAGCCUCCCGAGGCCCUUGCUCACCCAUACACACCCUCCGACAUCUGAGCAUGAGGAUGCGUUCUAACAAGUCCUCCAACGCCCAAAGGAGAAACAGGAUCAAACACAACAAAAAUAGAUGGGAAGAAGCUGCUCUAAGUGUUCCUUGAUGUAAAACCUGAUGUUGGCACUUGGCUUGGACUUCAUGGGAGGAACACUGCGAGGCUGUGGGAUGUAGCAUUGGUGGCAUAGGGCAGGAUGAUUUUCUUGCUGAUUUAGCGUCUGGGUGGAUAGGGAGGCAGCUGACAGCACAGCUAUGGGCCUGCUAUGUGACACUGGAAUAUCUGAUCAGGUGGAAAAAUUAACAGUUCUAGGAAAUGUUCCGUCUUAGUAGGAGUGUUAGUGUCACAGGUCCAGCCAAAUUCCCAUACAGAUAUAUUUAUAAUCUGCCAGCCAAAUGUUGCCUUAGAAACUAAGGAGUAAAACAACGUGCAACAUUUCCCACAGGAGAAAAUUAAUCUGAAAACAUGGAGAUUUACCUCUGCAUGAAAUAACCUAACCUUGGAGAACUUUCCACUGAGGGAACCACAUUUUAUUUCGCAUUGCCUGAAGAUGAGAAAACAUAAUGAGAUCUGCUCACUGAAAGUCUAUAGGAGGGACAAGUGAGAACACAUUUUAAAGGUGGCAGGAGAGUCCUCCUCCUGUUCAUUGGUUUGCUUUAAUUGCUGUCCUCACUGUGAGCCAUCAGAGGAACCCAUACCAUGAACUGAAGCCACAUUUUGCGUCUGUGGGUAGCUGUUUCUUCAGUUGUUUGCAUAAACAAAAGCCUUUGUCCAACUCCUGUAGUUGGUCCAUCUGUCUAGAUUUUGCUCUUGUUGCUACUACAUAUCUUACUGUUCCCUGGAGUCUUUAGAUUGUAUAUUUAGACAAAUUAUCCUCCAGACAAAAUCACUUUAGGCCUGGAAUCUACAUUUCAGCAUACUUCUUGUGAGUGGACAUGAAGCAUGGUUUUGAAUGGCAAGCUGUCCCCAUUUUAUUUUGCUUUGCUGAGUAUGACAGAGGAGGAAGGCUGAGAGACCCAGGACUGUUCAGACUGGAGAAGACUAAGAAGGGAUUUCAUCAUACUUAUAAAUAUCUAAUGGAUGGGAGUAAAGUGGAUGGGGCCAAGUUCUUUUCAGUGGUGCCCAGAAACAAGACAAGGGGCAAUGGGUACAAACUGGAACACAAGAAGUUCCAUCUGAAUAUGAGGAAAAACCUCUUUACUUUGAGGAUUCCAGAGCACUGGAACAGGCUGCCCAGAGAGGUUAUGCAAUCUCCUUCUCUGAUGACGUUCAACUCUGGCCUGGACACUUUUCAGUCUAACUGCUCUAGGGAAUUUGCUUUAGCAGGAGAUUGGACUAGAAGGUUUCCAGAGGUCCCUUCCAGUCCUUACAAUUCUGUC